rnacentral:rRNA from 1 species
AGUCGAGGGGCAGCAUUUCAGUUUGCUUGCAAACUGGAGAUGGCGACCGGCGCACGGGCUGAGUAACACGCUAUCCAACCUGCCGAUAACUCGGGGAUAGCCUUUCGAAAGAAAGAUUAAUACCCGAUGGUAUAAUCAGACCGCAUGGUCUUNUUAUUAAAGAAUUUCGGUUAUCGAUGGGGAUGCGUUCCAUUAGGCAGUUGGUGAGGUAACGGCUCACCAAACCUUCGAUGGAUAGGGGUUCUGAGAGGAAGGUCCCCCACAUUGGAACUGAGACACGGUCCAAACUCAUACGGGAGGCAGCAGUGAGGAAUAUUGGUCAAUGGGCGCAGGCCUGAACCAGCCAAGUAGCGUGAAGGAUGACUGCCCNUAUGGGUUGUAAACUUCUUUUAUAUGGGAAUAAAGUUUUNCCACGUGUGGAAUUUUGUAUGUACCCAUAUGAAUAAGGGAUCGGCUAACUCCGUGCCAGCAGCCGCGGUAAUACGGAGGAUCCGAGCGUUAUCCGGAUUUAUUGGGUUUAAAGGGAGCGUAGGUGGACAGUUAAGUCAGUUGUGAAAGUUUGCGGCUCAACCGUAAAAUUGCAGUUGAUACUGGCUGUCUUGAGUACAGUAGAGGUGGGCGGAAUUCGUGGUGUAGCGGUGAAAUGCUUAGAUAUCACGAAGAACUCCGAUUGCGAAGGCAGCUCACUGGACUGCAACUGACACUGAUGCUCGAAAGUGUGGGUAUCAAACAGGAUUAGAUACCCUGGUAGUCCACACAGUAAACGAUGAAUACUCGCUGUUUGCGAUAUACAGUAAGCGGCCAAGCGAAAGCAUUAAGUAUUCCACCUGGGGGAGUACGCCGGCAACGGUGAAACUCAAAGGAAUUGACGGGGGCCCGCACAAGCGGAGGAACAUGUGGUUUAAUUCGAUGAUACGCGAGGAACCUUACCCGGGCUUAAAUUGCAUUUGAAUAUUUUGGAAACAGGNUAGCCGCAAGGCAAAUGUGAAGGUGCUGCAUGGUUGUCGUCAGCUCGUGCCGUGAGGUGUCGGCUUAAGUGCCAUAACGAGCGCAACCCUUAUCUUUAGUUACUAAAAGGUCAUGCUGAGGACUCUAGAGAGACUGCCGUCGUAAGAUGUGAGGAAGGUGGGGAUGACGUCAAAUCAGCACGGCCCUUACGUCCGGGGCUACACACGUGUUACAAUGGGGGGUACAGAAGGCAGCUACCUGGUGACAGGAUGCUAAUCCCAAAAGCCUCUCUCAGUUCGGAUCGAAGUCUGCAACCCGACUUCGUGAAGCUGGAUUCGCUAGUAAUCGCGCAUCAGCCAUGGCGCGGUGAAUACGUUCCCGGGCCUUGUACACANCGNCCGUCAAGCCAUGAAAGCCGGGGGUACCUGAAGUACGUAACCGCAAGGAGCUCCUAGG